GUCUGCUCGCUAUAAAGAGCAGUCUGGCCUGCCCACUGAUGAAAAAUUUAAAGGCCGCGGUACCCUAACCGUGCGAAGGUAGCAUAAUAAUUAGUCUUUUAAUUGAAGACUGGAAUGAAAGGUCGGACAAGAAGCAAACUGUCUCAGCUUUAUUUAUCGAAAUUAACUUCUAAGUGAAAAGGCUUAGAUAAAUUUGAAGGACGACAAGACCCUAUAAAACUUUAUACUUAAAGCAUACUCUCCGAACUAUUUGUGAAAACUAGAUUAUGCCUUAAAGUAUUGCGUUGGGGAGACGAAAGUAUAACUUGUAACUGCAUUAACCUUAAACAAUAAUUUCUGAAUUCAUUGAUCCUUUUUAGAUUAUAAGAAAAAGUUACUUUAGGGAUAACAGCGUUAUUUUUUUUGAGAGUCCUUAUCGACAAAAAAGUUUGCGACCUCGAUGUUGAAUUAAAAUUACCUAACAAUGCAGCAGUUGUAUAGGUAGGUCUGUUCGACCUUUAAAAUUUUACAUGAUUUGAGUUCAAACCGGCGUAAG
rnacentral:rRNA from 1 species